CUCCUCCUUAACUAAGAGUCUGGUGUUUUUGUUGUCUUGUUGUCCCUACUAUAAGUCCAAAUGUAUAGAGGUAUCCCUUAGCCUUGGCCGACACCUACACCCUUUUUCUUUUAGGGAUUUACGUAGAGACUUUGUUACCGUAAAAAAGUCACUUACUUGAUUCUGAUCGUCAAGUAAAAAUAAGACAACCCCCUUAGAUAAAACCUGCUUUAAGACUUGUGAAAAGUUACACUAUCGUCGACGGUGAUAGAGUUCUUACUCCUCUUUAACUAAGAGUCUAGUGUUUCUUGGUGUAUCGUCGUUCCCACUAUAAGUCCAACUGUAUAGAGGUAUCUGUUAGAUUGGACAUGUCCCUACUCAUUCUAUACUUUUUGAAGUUAACUUUCGUGGCGUUUCGGGUUCUUAUCAUGUUACCCGAGCUGUAACCAACUUGUAUCCCAAGAACGUACGUUCACAUACCGGCCCAUUUAUUCAUGCACUAAUUAUACAACCCUUUUCGUCAUUACCAGCUCGUUUUACUUAUCCUAUCUGUGUUAGAAGAGGGUGGUUCAAUGACCAGUUCUAUGAUAUAGCUUACGCUGUAACGA
rnacentral:rRNA from 1 species